CUCCUGAUUCUACUUUUCGUCGCAAGCUCAGCAGCUCUGCAAACUUUCAAAAAGAAUAGUUAUGAAGCGAUCUCGCUUUGCGACAAUAAUUGCAAGGAAAAUAUACAGAGGUGUUUAUGACUAUUAUUUGUAAAUCCGAAUUUUAAAAGAAAAGUGAAUGUGUAGAAAAUGAAAAACGGAAGAUAUUUAACGUGCACUAGACAAAUUUUUCGAAUUUGCUAAAAAGAUAUGUGCGAAGAUAAAAAAAUAUUAUUAACAAAAUCAGUGAAAAUGUGGAUAAUAUUAAAAAUUAUGAUUCAUUUGUUCCUACUUCUUGCUAAUAGUUCGUUUGCAAGCAUACAAAAAGACAGUGAGAAAAUUGAUGACUGGAAUAUUCAAAGUUGCUGCAGCAUCGCACGAAAUAUUCGUUGCAGAUUCAUGUGCAAGUUGUUCAAUCAAACUUUAAAUAUAAAUGAGAGCUGUCGACGCAGUGAUGAACCUGAGUUCUUUUCUUGUAUAGUGAGUCGCCAAAAUGCGAAAAACUGUUGCGCCCUUAUUUCUAAUGUGACGUGCAAGACAAUAUGCAAGGAAAUUUUCAACGAGCCUGGAAAUAUAUCUUUUGCGAAAUACUAUAAUAACAAGGCUAAAUGCUUUAAUCACGUACCGAAAUGUCUUAAAAGUAUUUUAGGCAUAGGAAAGAUUGAAGAUCCAUCUCAAUAUACACAUUGUUGCGAGAAAGCUAAAAAUCUUGAGUGUCUUGAAACGUGUCGGAGAAUCCUUCGCACUGCAAGUUCUGAAAAAGAGAUUCUGGAUGCUUUAGAACUCAAGUGUAAUCCAGUGAAGCCUCACUCACCUAUGUGGAGUUGUUUCUUGAACCUUGUGCCUACAAAACUAAACCACAUUCCGUUAGAUGCGGGUAAACUUUCUUGCUGUGCUAAAGCUAGCACAACAACUUGUGAAAAUUUAUGCCGGAAAACUUAUUAUGCUGAAUGGCAAAUAUCAUGGCAGCAGUUUGAAAAUGAUUGCUUAUCUUCAAGGAAAGAAACUGAAAUGAGAAUAUGCCUUCAAGAUUCAGAUAGUUCAUGUAAAUUUGGUUGUAACGGUCUGUCGUUUUGCUCUGCGUUCAACAAAAAGUUUUUAAAUUCAUUCAGGUCCUGCUCCAUUACAGCGGAUGAAGCAGCUAGCCGGGAGUUUGACUAUUGGAGUGGAGGUGGGAUUCUUUAUGGAUUGGGAGUUUCACUUAGAGCAGCUUCAUCAUGUCCUAUUAAAAUACUACGCAUUCUUGCUUGCAUCUUGCAUUUGCAACCUUGCAACUCACAGACUCAUGAAACUCGAAUUUGCUACAACGACUGCAUGGAAAUCGUGUCUACUUGCGUAGAUUGGUCAUCAGUAACCAAAAAUAACUCAUCAAAAUCGUUGUGUUCUAAAUUUUCAUCAUCGUCAACAAGUCCCUGUAUAUCUAUAAAGAGUUUUUUAAAAGAUUCGUAUGCAUCGAAAGCUGAAGUAUUAUCUGGCGAAAAUGUGGGGUCAUCGUGCAAUAAUAAUCCUUGUCAGAACGAUCAAAUAUGCCUUUCUUUUUCAAAUACUUUGUCAGAUUAUCGAUGCCAACCUGCUUGUAAGCUUGGUAUAAUGUCUAAACAGCUGGUUGCGAUCGGAUCAUGGAUUCAAAUUCCUCGACUUGAAAAACAAGGUUGUUAUCAAAUUUGUCAAUGUACUCUAAACGGCUUCGAAAGAUGUAAGAUCCUGAAUUGCUUCUCAUUCAAAUCAUGUUGGGUGCAGGAUCGUUUUAUCUCUCACAAUACAGAAUUCUAUCUAGAGUGUAAUAAAUGUCGCUGCUUCAUGGGUGAAAUCACAUGCUUUCGAAAGAAUUGUAUAGAAAAUCGUACACCUACGUUACCAUGUGAUUGUCCUGCGCACUAUGUCCCCGUUUGCAGUAGAUUGGGAGUUACAUAUGCAUCAUCAUGUCUGGCAAAAUGUGCUGGAUUUACAGGUGAUGACAUAGAAUUUGGCAGCUGUUUAUCUAAAGAUCCAUGUACUCCAAGUCCCUGUAACGAAUUUGAGAAAUGCAUUGCCAAAUUUCGGGUAUGCUUGUCUACCAUAUACAGACCAUGUCACCAAUAUGAGUGCGUUCCUUUGAACUGUAGUUCUACGAAAGAAAGUUGGGAACCUGUUUGUGACAAAAACAACCAUGAACAUGAUUCUCUUUGCAGUUUAAUCAAGGCGGAAAAAAAAUUAGGAUACAGAGGACCCUGCAUGAAAGAAUGUAAUAUUCAUGAACCAGUUUGCAGCACCAACGGUGAAAGCUACCCAAAUGAAUGUGCAGCUUUAGCUGAUAGGACUAUUGUUGACUAUUUUGGACCUUGCGUCGCAGUUGGGUUGACGAACGAUAUAGCAAAACUGCGUUGCAUUAGCACAGUUACAUGUCCUGAACUGGAUAUCCCUUACUGUACUGGGGUAACACCACCAGGAGCUUGUUGUCCAGUUUGUGGAGGAGCAUCAAGAUUAUAUUAUUCAAGAAAACAGUGUCAUCAAAAAGGUCUAUGCUGUUAUCCGGCCAUCUGCAUUAGUUCGCUGUUCAUUGUUCUCUGAUUCUUUGUGCGCCAUGUGAAAUCAAAGUUCCGUUUGCAGCUCUGACUCGUCCCAUACGGUAUUUUACGAAGUUUAUUGCCGAGGUAACAAUAUUGCAAUGGACUAGAGUGAGAAUAAUGCAACAUCGGUUUCUUGUGAAAUUCCACUGGAACCAGGGCCUCUUCGUUUAUCCGCUAUGAGUUAUGGCAGAAGACUUCUGAAUUUAAGCAUAGCGCUGGGAUUUUAUUCUUCCCUGUGCCAAGUGCUUAAAUUAAAAAACCCCUCCAUGUGUUCUACUUCCGCAGGUGGUACUCGGCUAGGAGGCAAGGUCAACAAGAGGAAACGUGGUCGAUCAAUGAGAAACAGCUUUAUCUUGCAGCCUGCUGCGGUGCCUAUUGAACUUGAGGAGGCACGGUGUGGAUUAUGUCAGCGAUUGGACAAGAUAUAUGAUCAGCUUCACUUCUGUCUUAUUUUCUUCUGCUAAUUACGUUAAAAAGAGAUAUUUGGGGUUCCAAUCGUUUAAAAAACUACGAAUUUCACCAAUGUUUCAUGUGAACAUUGCGUGUGGAAAGUGAACUGCAAUGGUCACCAAACCUCGUCAAAAUCCGUAGUUUUGUACACGAUCGGAACCCGAAGUAUCUCUCUUUAUUCUAUAUUUUCAUUGUUUUCCAGUAGUAAAGGUACGCGGUACUGUUUUUGAUUCUGUGGGAGAUAACAACUCUACGGUUGGAUUUAAUAAACAAAACCUACAUAGGCACGUUCCCUAAAGCUAGCUAACUACAUACAAGCGUGUGUUUACCCACUCUUAGCUGUGCUGGGCUUAAAUUCACUAUUAUUCAUAUUCGGUUAUGAAGAGGCAUAAUUUUAGAAAAUUAAAAAACAAGGUACCCUUGUUUCUCCUCCCUUCUUAGAAUUUUUUAUCGUCGUCGGUGAAUGGAGAGCAAGGUAAAACAGGAUGAUUUUAUGCUAUUCUGAAAUAAGUUUUUGGGAUGUGCGUCUGUGACACUGCUGCAGCUGUUACCAGCUAUCGUGUGAAUUGUCUUUUUGCCCUGAUACUGUUGUUCUUCGAAUUAUAAUAAUUGAUUCUCAAUUUCUUCUAAUAAUGUUCCAUGUUAAUAUUCUUCCCACAUUUUUGCUGGAUGUAUUUGUAUU